AUAUGCAAUUGUAAACGUUUAGGUGAAGACAAUAACGUUCAACUAAUCUGUGGACCAAAAUAGAUGGCGAAAAAUCUAAAUGAAAUUUAAAAUCCUUAAAUGAGAACAAUUGGUGGACAAGAUGUGAGAUUCAUAAUAAUAUAGCAAGAUGAUGAAAUCGAGGACAAGACGUAGACGCAACAGAGAAUUUCUAAUCGGGGACAAGAUCUGGAGACAAAAACAAAAGUCUGUCACCAAUUGUCCUUUAUCUAACACAUCAGUCUGUCACCAUCAAGAGCAAUUUCGUCCACAACUGUGCAUGUGACAAUGAAAUGUGGUAGAUUCUGUAAGGCUGAGUGAAAUGUGGUAUAAAUUGUAAGACAUAUUGCAAAAAGUGGUAGAUUUUGUAAGAUUCCCUUAUAUAAAGUGGGGAGAAAGAAAAGUGAAUGAAGAGAGAGAAAAAGUAAAGGUUGCUAACCAUAGUUAGUUUGGAUUGGUUAGGUUGGAUUGAGGGUGUAGUGAUAAAAAAAACUUAGAAAAGUGCCAAAUAGUACUCCAUAACCAAAUUAAGUUUCAAAAAAAUGCCCAUAGCAUAAUAUUUCCUUAUAUAUAUAUGAAAGU
rnacentral:sRNA from 1 species